CCUACGGGAGGCAGCAGUGAGGAAUAUUGGUCAAUGGCCGGGAGGCUGAACCAGCCAAGUCGCGUGAGGGAAGACGGCCCUACGGGUUGUAAACCUCUUUUGUCAGGGAGCAAAGUGCAGGUCGGGACCUGCUGUGAGAGUACCUGAAGAAAAAGCAUCGGCUAACUCCGUGCCAGCAGCCGCGGUAAUACGGAGGAUGCGAGCGUUAUCCGGAUUUAUUGGGUUUAAAGGGUGCGCAGGCGGAGGAUAAAGUCAGCGGUAAAAUGGCGGGGCUCAACCCCGCGCCGCCGUUGAAACUGUGUCCCUCGAGUGGGCGAAGGGUAGGCGGAAUGCGUGGUGUAGCGGUGAAAUGCUUAGAUAUCACGAAGAACUCCGAUUGCGAAGGCAGCUUACUAACCCGCGACUGACAUUGAGGCACGAAAGCGUGGGUAUCAAACAGGAUUAGAUACCCUGGUAGUC
rnacentral:rRNA from 1 species